CUCCAUCACGCCCGCGGGGUCCAAGGCCGGGGCGCUCAGCGCUCUGCACCGCCCCAGGAGGACGCGGCGGGGCAGCGGCGAGCCCUGCGGCAGCAGCUGCAACAAGUGCAUCGGGAGAGGACCCGGCGGCUGCGGGCCCUCGGGGCCAGGAACACCCAGAACUUCCAGCAGUUACUGUGGCCUCACACUGAGGACCCUUUGCCAGGAGAGGAGCCCUCGCCCUUCGCAGCCCCAUCUAGUCAUUGCUGAAUCCUCAAAGGGAUGAUUAAAGAGAUGAGGAUUAAAGAAAAAGCAAGUGCAGGUUAGAGGGAGUUCCAAGAAAGGCCCCGAACGCUGCCUCGGGGCCUGGGAGGGCCAGAAACACACACAGCAGCUCAGUCCCACUAGAAGGCGUGUUAUUUCGUCUUCCCUCCCCUAACUCCACUGCCCGGCCAAGGUCAGAGAGCCAGGUCCCGGGGGUCAAGCAGUGCGAAGGCCCCAUUCUUUCGGAAGAAUGAUUCGAUGCGGCACAUCUUACAGGAGACCAGUUCUUGCUUCACCGGGGGGCCUGGGAAAAAAUGUCAGAGGCCAGGAAUGAUGGGUCCUGGGAAAGGGAACUUGGCCAGAGCAUGGGAGCCCUGCCUUCCUAGCCCUAGGAAUCUGCCUGUAUUGUAUCCACUUUGUAUCCUUUGUGAAGGAAUAAAAAGUGCUUCUGAGGAAUGGGA